CUACUCGUGCUUCUACAUCCACGCCAAAAUGAUGCAAAGCCACAGAAACCGCGUGUUCCAUGAUUUCCGCAAUG
rnacentral:rRNA from 1 species